ensembl:snoRNA U3 Small nucleolar RNA U3
AAGACUAUACUUUCAGGGAUCAUUUCUAUAGUUGUUAACUUGAGGAAUGUGCUUCUAAAGUGUUUGGUCUCGCAACCCACGAGGAUGAGACUCGAUAUUCCCUUCUGAGCGCGAAGCGAGCUUUGAGUGAUGAUUUAUUUCAUUGCUCUCUGCUAUUGAUGACCGUUCUUUACUUCCUGGUGGAGUAUAGAGGGAGGGAAUAUGAUCAGAGUGGU